CCCUCUUCUUUUAUCUCCCACCCUCCACCAACACUCUGUUCACACACAUUUCACACCACCAUUAUACUUCCCAAAUUCAUCAUCAUCCUAACAAACUCUGCAGAACAAUGGAGUUCAACACAAACCUACAACCCAAACCAACAGUAAAAGAAGAAGAAAUCACAUUCAUAUCGUCCGCAACAACCGUAACCGCUACCGGUUCAUCGUCAUCGUCUUCUUCACCGCGGCCGAAGGAAGGCCUGCACGAGGUAGGUCCGCCACCGUUCCUCACGAAAACGUUUGAUAUGGUGGAAGAUCCGGCCACCGAUGCGGUGGUUUCGUGGAGCAGAGAACGGAAUAGCUUCGUUGUUUGGGAUUCGCAUAAGUUUUCCACAAAUCUGCUACCGAAGUAUUUUAAGCAUAGUAAUUUUUCUAGCUUUAUUCGCCAGCUUAAUACUUAUGGCUUCAGGAAAGUGGAUCCAGACAGAUGGGAAUUUGCAAACGAAGGGUUUCUAGGGGGUCAAAGGCAUCUGUUGAAGACAAUAAGAAGAAGAAGAAAUGUGGUUCCAUUGGCCCAACCGAAACAUGAAUUCGGGCCGUGUAUUGAAGUAGGCCAGUACGGGAUAGAAGAAGAACUCGAAGGACUUAAAAGGGACCGCAGUGUAUUAAUGGCGGAAAUUGUUAGGCUGCGGCAACUACAGCAACAGUCAAAAGACAAACUCAUAUCCAUGGAAAACAGAUUAAGAACCACCGAAAGAAAACAACAAAACAUGAUGGGAUUCCUCGCAAAAGCGUUUAGCAACCCCGAGUUCCUCCAGAAGUACAUGGAAAAAUACGCACACAGAGAAAAGGAACAGAUUGAAGUCGGUCGUAAACGGCGGUUGACAAUGACACCAAGCGUAGAGAAUUUACAAGAAGUCGGUGGACCAGAUGGUGAUAUUGGUAUCGAAAGCAUACAAGAUCCGUUUCUUGCAGCCACCGUUGAAGGUGAUUCAAGUAGUUAUGUUGGUAAUCAAGAUGAAUCUCAUGACAAUUUAUGGGAAGAACUGUUGAAUGUGGAUCUGCCGGUCGAAAAACACCCUGAGGAGUUUCUUGAUGAUCUAGAUGCUCAAAAGCUUGAUUGGGAUGAUGAUAUGCAAGAGUUGGUUGAUCAGAUGGAAUAUUUAAGGUCACCGAAUCUUUAAAUAGAUUGUUGUUGAGAACUUGAGAUUUUUAUAGUGUAGAGUUUGUGGGUCGGUACACCUCCACCUCCUCUAGAGUACAAGUCAAAGAUGCAUGUGAUCGAUUCUAGUCUAGGGAGAUGGUGGAAUUGUGAGGAGGCUAAGCUGCUGUUCUCUUGUAUCCUUUUUGUUGUUUGGGUAAAAGUAAACCAGUCGUAUAACUUUAACUGAUCACCGCUGUUUGAUUCAUCUUUUAUCUGCAGGGGACAAAGUGUUACAAAGAGAAAUCGGAGUGUUUUUCAUUCUUAAAGAGGUAAGACCCGUGUUCGUAGAUGCAAUGGGUUCGCUUGAAGAAUGAUAAACUUCUAAGUAGACAUGGAAUGAAGAUGUGAGGUUGGUGUUAUGCAUAAGUUUUAAAGAUGUCGGUUUGUUUAGGCAAUAUUGCAAUGUAAUAUCAAUAACUUGAUAUGAAGGUGGAGGCUUUCUGGUUAAGGGUUUAAGUUUCAAGGUUUAUGCAGAUGAUUUUGCUUUAGGGUUUAGGGUUUAUGUUAACGAUUCUGCUUAAGGCUUUAUGGUUCAGUACUGGUAUUUUAUCACACGGUUGGCGGUAAUUGCAUCCAUCAAGUGGUUAUGUAACUUACGAGAUUAAGCCAUCAAUUCGAUCGUAAGUAGGUUCACUGAAUGCUUUGUCUGUUGUUAAGAAUUUAGGAUAGUGGUUGUGUAAUUUGUAGCAAGAUUGGUUCAUGAGGGGGGUGUGUAUGUUCUCAAGCAAGCAGGGCAUGUGGUGGCAUCAAUGAAGUGUCUUUUGAUAUAACAAUAACCAGAUUGAAGUUCAACUUGCAAGACCACCAACCAUAGUUCAUAGGCCCCAUGAUAGCAAACCUAUUGGUUUUCUUGGAGUGUUGAGGCUAGAGUUGAUUUUUAUUAAUUUGUCUUGUAUGUUGUGUGUAAAUGUUUGCAACUAGUAUUUUGACACGCCGCCCGUUGUUGCA